rnacentral:lncRNA from 1 species
UUGGUGUCCAAGCCCCAGGCUUUUCUGGCACUCUGAUUGCUUCCCUAAAAGGAGAUGACAGGGUCCUUUAGUCCAGUGAGGGUCUGUUUGGUGAUGAAUGGUUUCCUCCAAGUCCUCCACCUGGGGCAGGUGCACACAUUCCUGGUCAUGAAAGGGAAAAGAGGUAGGACUCUGCAGAUUUCUCUAGAACAAGCACCCCAGAUUCCUGCCAGCAGAGCCAGUCACUUCUGUGGUCUACACUUUGCCCAGUACCCAGGGAGGUUUUCUGCUAUUCACAUAGGGUUUCACACAUAGAAGGAUUUUCUCAGGUGAAAGAAACAGAAGGCAGGACCAGGGACCCAGGACUUCCUGUGACAUCUUUACUCUGACCUGCAGCAAUGAACUGUUUCAUGUGCGCUGACGACUGACGGGUGGACCAGGUGGAGCGACAGGAAUCCUCCUUGCUCUCCAGCGGAAAGGCCUUGGCGCCCCUGCAGGGUGCUAUCUUUUACAGUGGGUGGAUGCUUAGGCUCAGGGAGGCCAAACCCAGGACCAUGUGAAGAAAUUGUGUUCUUUAAAAGACAUAACAGAAACCAUGCCUGCACUUGACACCCUUGUGUUGACAUUUCUCGAGUGGACACGCCGGACUGCCCUUUACACAGCUUACCUCAUCUACUUCAAUGGAAAACCUGCCGUGUAGGUUUUCUCACUGCCACCCCCGCCCCCCGCCCCGCCCCCAAUUUCACAGGUGAGAAAACUGAGACUGACAGUGGUAGAAUAACUGAUGCAGGUGGAAGAGCUGGGAUUUAAGUCUAGCCCAGCGCUCCUCGCACAGCUGAUUUCAGGGUUCCUCUCCCUACCCUCUGUUUGUUCUGCCAUCUCUUUCUUCCCCCACUGCCUUGACCUUUGAUUGCUCCCCCAUCCUUUCUUUAUCUCUUUUCCUUUGCUUCAGAAUUCUUUCUCAUCUUCCAGCUCUCUGCCACUAUUUCAGCCCUUCCUUCCCUUCUUCUUUCCAUUUCUCCCUCCUCACUGUCCCUUUCUUUCUUCCCCUCCCUUUGUCCUCUUUUCCUUUUCCUCCCACUCUUCCAUUGUCCCUUAAUGUUUCUUCCUUUCACUCCUUGAUACACACAUAGGUGUGUAGAUAUUAUAUUAUUUUAUUUUAUUAUUCUUUUUUUAGGUGGAGUCUCACUCUGUCACCAGGCUGGGGUGCAGUGGCACAGUCUCGGCUCACUGCAACCUCUGCCCCCCCGGGUUCAAGCGAUUCUCCUGCC